GUAGUUCCCAGAGCAACGGCAGUGAUGCGGAUAUUUCACUUUCUGAGAAAGAUAAACAACUUCGAGAAAAGGAAGCCGAGGUAAAGAGAUGUUCAAUUGAGCUAGUGUCGUUUGUGUUUCACCACGUUCGGCACCUAGUUCUAUAGUUACUAUAUAUUCUCCAUAUUCUUGUUCAAUGUAAUUAUCUAUGUCAGUUAUGUACAAUAUUGUCAAGUUAUCUACGUGCCAAAUUAAAGCUGUCAAAAACAAAACAAAUAAUUCCAUCUCAUUUUUCUUUCGCAGUUGCUUCGUAUGCAAGAGAUGAUCGCGAAAAUGCAAGAGGAAAUGAACAGACAGAAACAGGGACAAUAAACAUUAAACCAGACCAAGAAAUUUCAAAAUCAUGCGUUCUUACGAUUGUCUAUCACAAAAUGUUCUUACAACUUACCUAGCAAGUGUAUAGAGGUUAGAUCAUAGUCUAUCACGGUAUGAUGGUCUGAAAAACUAAACAUAAGUCAUCGUUUGAUGUUUUUGUCGGAGUUUAUGUUAAUUUGUGCACGUUAAUUUCAUCACCGUCCAAUAUGGAUAUAGCUGAGACGAACGUGCAACCACGAUGAAUAAUAUUUAAUUAAGUUGAGACAAAGGAUUUGUGCACAGUAAGGUAUAGUCACAGAAUAAAGAUCAAUAACAGAAGGGCCACUCAGCGGUGCAAUAUGUCCUCGUUUUUUUAUGCAAAAAUAUGCAGUUUACUGGUCAGAAGGCGGAGCAGCCAGCCAGUACGGCGUGUUUAUUGGCCAGGAAAUGUCAUUGACUGGCUAGGAAAAUGGCGGCCAACAUGCGUAAUGCGACAUGCGCGAGGACAGAAACUUCAAAGCUCCCAACGUAAGUGGCCCUUCUGCAUGGAUCUUUAUUCUGUGGUACAGUUCAACACCAAACAAAGGUCUUCUAUUUUCAGGCUUUGAAGUUUGCCGCGCUGCCAGACCAUCAUAUCUUGACAGACUAUAUAGUUAGACUGAUGCGAUAUUGAAAAGAAUAUCGACUAUACCGAAUUAUGUACAUUAGGAAACGUAGUUUAGUCAACUGGCAUGUAUACCGUAUCACAAGCAGCAAAAACAAAGGUGCACGAAGGUAGUCAAACAUUAAAAUAUUUAUUUACAACAGUUUAUGAAUGUUUAAUUAAGAGGCAAUUUUUUUCGGUGUCGUGUAUUUGCGAUGAAAAGUGUUCAAAACCUAGGAACCUUUUGGCGUUCCUCUCAAAAUUACUUUGUUUUAGCUUUAUUUUGUACUUUACACAGUUACACGUUUGAGAAACACAAAAUAAUAGUUAAAUAUUGUCAAUUUAAGUACAAUUUUAUAUUGAUGCUGUAAAAUUGACGUCAUAUUUAUACAGCAACAUAAGCAAAACUUACUGAACUUCAGACAUAAUUUUCUCUUUGGCGUACCAUCUAAAAUCUCUUCAUCUUAGCACAAUUUUACAGAUAAAGAACUGAACAUACUUUUAAAGUUUGUUUUCCGCUUGAGAAACGUAUUUCCGGACAAUAAUUGCCGAUAAAAAGAAGAUAAAGUUGUCUAGUAAAAACUUUCGAUAUUUUGGAUAUGCGAAAAAUCGAUUAUCGAUAUUAUUGAAAUAUCGAAAAUAUCGAUGGUCAUCGAUAUAUCGCAUCAGCCUAAUAAGAGGUGCCCCAGCAUUUUAAUCGAUCUUGAUAAACUUGACCCUUGAUGCUCACGCAUUCAUAAACUGUUAUGGAAAAUAAAUAGCUAGCUGCAUGCAUGGGAAUAGCAAAACAUAGUGCAAAACUUGUAUACCAGAACUUCACGCAUUUUGUAGUUGUAAAUUUUUAUAUUUAGUUUGGAGAGUUUUCCAAUAAAGGCGAAUAAAAGAAUAUAUCAAAUAAAGUUUUGUGUGAUAGACUUAUG